rnacentral:rRNA from 1 species
CUACGGGGCGCUCCAGUGGGGAAUAUUGGACAAUGGGGGAACCCUGAUGCAGCAACGCCGCGUGGAGGAUGACGCAUUUCGGUGUGUAAACUCCUUUUAUAUGUCAAGAAAAUGACGGUAGCAUAUGAAUAAGCACCGGCUAACUCCGUGCCAGCAGCCGCGGUAAUACGGAGGGUGCAAGCGUUACUCGGAAUCACUGGGCGUAAAGGACGCGUAGGCGGGUUGGAAAGUCAGGUGUGAAAUCCUACAGCUUAACUGUAGAACUGCACUUGAAACUUCUAAUCUAGAGUAUGGGAGGGGAGAUGGAAUUAGUGGUGUAGGGGUAAAAUCCGUAGAUAUCACUAGGAAUACCUAAAGCGAAGGCGAUCUCCUGGAACAUUACUGACGCUAAGGCGUGAAAGCGUGGGGAGCAAACAGGAUUAGAUACCCUCGUAGUC